rnacentral:rRNA from 1 species
GACGAACGCUGGCGGCGUGCUUAACACAUGCAAGUCGAACGAAGAGCGAUGGACGCUUGCUUCUAUCACUCUUAGUGGCGAACGGGUGAGUAACGCGUAAUCAACCUGCCCUUCAGAGGGGGACAACAGUUGGAAACGACUGCUAAUACCGCAUACGAUCUGACCUCGGCAUCGAGGAUAGAUGAAAGGUGGCCUCUAUUUAUAAGCUAUCACUGAAGGAGGGGAUUGCGUCUGAUUAGCUAGUUGGAGGGGUAACGGCCCACCAAGGCGAUGAUCAGUAGCCGGUCUGAGAGGAUGAACGGCCACAUUGGGACUGAGACACGGCCCAGACUCCUACGGGAGGCAGCAGUGGGGAAUCUUCCGCAAUGGACGGAAGUCUGACGGAGCAACGCCGCGUGAGUGAUGACGGCCUUCGGGUUGUAAAGCUCUGUUAAUCGGGACGAAAGGCCUUCUUGCGAAUAGUUAGAAGGAUUGACGGUACCGGAAUAGAAAGCCACGGCUAACUACGU